AUUGAACGCUGGCGGCAGGCCUAACACAUGCAAGUCGAGCGAGCGGCGGACGGGUGAGUAAUGUCUGGGAAACUGCCUUAUGGAGGGGGAUAACUACUGGAAACGGUAGCUAAUACCGCAUACCAUCAGAUGUGCCCAGAUGGGAUUAGCUAGUAGGUGGGGUAAAGGCUCACCUAGGCGAAGAUCCCUAGCGGGGCUGAGAGGAUGACCAGCCACACGGGAACUGAGACACGGUCCAGACUCAUUCGGGAGGCAGCAGUGGGGAAUAUUGCACAAUGGGCGCAAGCCUGAUGCAGCCAGGCCGCGUGUGUGAAGAAGGCCUUCGGGUUGUAAAGCACUUUCAGCGGGGAGGCGUUACCCGCAGAAGAAGCACCGUCUAACUCCGUGCCAGCAGCCGCGGUAAUUC
rnacentral:rRNA from 1 species